rnacentral:rRNA from 1 species
GCGGGAAGAGCUCAAAUUUAAAAUCUGGCGGUCUCUGGCCGUCCGAGUUGUAAUCUAGAGAAGUGCUACCCGCGCUGGACCGUGUACAAGUCUCCUGGAAUGGAGCGUCAUAGAGGGUGAGAAUCCCGUCUCUGACACGGACUACCAGGGCUUUGUGGUACGCUCUCAAAGAGUCGAGUUGUUUGGGAAUGCAGCUCAAAAUGGGUGGUAAAUUCCAUCUAAAGCUAAAUAUUGGCGAGAGACCGAUAGCGAACAAGUACCGUGAGGGAAAGAUGAAAAGAACUUUGGAAAGAGAGUUAAACAGUACGUGAAAUUGCUGAAAGGGAAACGCUUGAAGUCAGUCGCGUUGGCCGGGGAUCAGCCUCGCUUUUGCGUGGUGUACUUUCUGGUUGACGGGUCAGCAUCAAUUUUGACCGCUGGAAAAAGGCUUGGGGAAUGUGGCAACUUCGGUUGUGUUAUAGCCCCUUGUCACAUACAGCGGUUGGGAUUGAGGAACUCAGCACGCCGCAAGGCCGGGUUUCGACCACGUUCGUGCUUAGGAUGCUGGCAUAAUGGCUUUAAGCGACCCGUCUUGAAACACGGACCAAGGAGUCUAACAUGCCUGCGAGUGUUUGGGUGGAAAACCCGAGCGCGUAAUGAAAGUGAAAGUUGAGAUCCCUGUCGUGGGGAGCAUCGACGCCCGGACCAGAACUUUUGGGACGGAUCCGCGGUAGAGCAUGUAUGUUGGGACCCGAAAGAUGGUGAACUAUGCCUGAAUAGGGUGAAGCCAGAGGAAACUCUGGUGGAGGCUCGUAGCGAUUCUGACGUGCAAAUCGAUCGUCAAA